rnacentral:rRNA from 1 species
UACGGAGGGUGCGAGCGUUGCUCGGAAUCACUGGGCGUAAAGGGUGCGUAGGCGGGGCUUUAAGUCAGGGGUGAAAUCCUGGAGCUCAACUCCAGAACUGCCUUUGAUACUGAAGAUCUUGAGUCCGGGAGAGGUGAGUGGAACUGCGAGUGUAGAGGUGAAAUUCGUAGAUAUUCGCAAGAACACCAGUGGCGAAGGCGGCUCACUGGCCCGGUACUGACGCUGAGGCACGAAAGCGUGGGGAGCAAACAGG